rnacentral:tRNA from 1 species
UCUAAUGUGACAGAUAAAAUGUAUUAAAUUUAAGAUUUAAAUAUGAAAAUAAAUUCCUUUAGAA